GGGGUGGGGGGGUGAGACAGAAGAAUGGAAUGGUACAGAAUGUCACUGCCUCCUGGCUCCAGCGUAGAGGAACACGUGUUUGGAAACGAGGAUGAGACAGAAGGAUGAAGGGAUGAACAAGGUGUCAAGCCGUUCUAAACAGUCUUCCUGUCCUGCUCUGGGGGAGGAGUCGUUGUUCUCCUUCCAGAACCAGCUGCUGCUAAGUUGCCAUGGAGACGUCAUGGUGCUCGGAACAGGAUGACGGCUGAGUUCCAUUCCGGAAUCUCACUCCCUUCAGUCCCUAGACUCGUCACUGAGGGGGCAGAGGGGAUUAAUGCGGCCCAACUAGCACCCUGGACCCCAGUGAUCAUCAUCUAGAUUCAACCACAGGCGGAUUUUUUAAUUUUCUCGAGUGGCUGGUCAGGGGACCUGAAUAUAAUUACAUAUCAUUUGUGGAAUGCAAAUUGACUGCAACAAGCCCAAACAAAGAGAGAAUUUGACUAAAACAUCAUAAUUUCAAACCUUGCUUACAUUUGUAUACAAUCACAUAUCUAUACAUUAUGCCUGGGAAUACUUAUGGAAUAGCGAAAUUAAAAUCAUUUGGAGCUGAGAGACGGUGUUUUUUUUUUUUACAAGCUUUUGUGUUCCAAAAUAAAAGCCCUACGGUCCCUGGUCACUAUAGGGAAUAGGCUGCUGUUUGGGACGUGAAACGAUGAGGUGAGGAUUUUCACCGUGGAGCGGGAGGCCUUCAUCUCCUCAACACAAUAGCAUCAUCAUGACAUCAUAAUGACGACAUAAUGACGUCAUAAAGAACCUUCACGCUCCCUCCUGUGAUGUCACCUAGUGAUGUCAAAGCAUUCUGUUCAAACAAACACGGUUGUAUAAAACCUGUUUACUGCUGUAUGUUUUUGACACAACGCUACGCCGACGGACAUAAAAGGAGAAGUAGUCUGUUUACCUGUAGACGUUAUUCGUAUUUUUUUCUGGCUGGGUAAUGUACAGGUACUAGUAGGUUUUAACACAUGUACAGGCUGGGGGGAGAGUCCCAAAUUGUACCCUAUUCCCUUUCUAGUGCACUACUUUUUAACCAGAGACCUUUGGCAAAUGGCACCCUAUUCCCUUUCUAGUGCACUACUUUUAACCAGAGCCUAUAGGGCUAAUGGCACCCUAUUCCCUUUCUAGUGCACUACUUUUAACCAGAGCCCUUUGGCUAAUGGCACCCUAUUCCCUUUCUAGCGCACUACUUUUAACCAGAGCCCUUUGGCUAAUGGCACCCUAUUCCCUUUCUAGUGCACUACUUUUAACCAGAGCCUAUAGGGCAAAUGGCAUCCAAUUCCCUUUCUAGUGCACUACUUUUAACCAGAGCCCUUUGGCUAAUGGCACCCUAUUCCCUUUCUAGUGCACUACUUUUAACCAGAGCCUAUAGGGCUAAUGGCACCCUAUUCCCUUUCUAGUGCACUACUUUUAACCAGAGCCCUUUGGCUAAUGGCACCCUAUUCCCUUUCUAGUGCACUACUUUUAACCAGAGCCUAUAGGGCUAAUGGCACCCUAUUCCCUUUCUAGUGCACUACUUUUAACCAGAGCCCUUUGGCUAAUGGCACCCUAUUCCCUUUCUAGUGCACUACUUUUAACCAGAGCCCUUUGGCUAAUGGCACCCUAUUCCCUUUCUAUUGCACUACUUUUAACCAGAGCCCUUUGGCUAAUGGCACCCUAUUCCCUUUCUAGUGCACUACUUUUAACCAGAGCCUAUAGGGCAAAUGGCACUCUAUUCCCUUUCUAGUGCACUACUUUUAACCAGAGGCUAUAGGGCUAAUGGCACCCUAUUCCCUUUCUAGUGCACUACUUUUAACCAGAGCCCUUUGGCUAAUGGCACCCUAUUCCCUUUCUAGUGCACUACUUUUAACCAGAGCCUAUAGGGCUAAUGGCACCCUAUUCCCUUUCUAGUGCACUACUUUUAACCAGAGCCCUUUGGCUAAUGGCACCCUAUUCCCUUUCUAGUGCACUACUUUUAACCAGAGCCUAUAGGGCUAAUGGCACCCUAUUCCCUUUGUAGUGCACUACUUUUAACCAGAGCCUAUAGGGCUAAUGGCACCCUAUUCUUUUUCUAGUGCACUACUUUUAACCAGAGCCUAUAGGGCUAAUGGCACCCUAUUCCCUUUGUAGUGCACUACUUUUAACCAGAGCCUAUAGGGCAAAUGGCACCCUAUUCCCUUUCUAGUGCACUACUUUUAACCAGAGCCUAUAGGGCAAAUGGCACCCUAUUCCCUUUGUAGUGCACUACUUUUAACCAGAGCCUAUAGGGCAAAUGGCACCCUAUUCCCUUUGUAGUGCACUACUUUUAACCAGAGCCUAUAGGGCUAAUGGCACCCUAUUCACUUUCUAGUGCACUACUUUUAACCAGAGCCUAUAGGGCUAAUGGCACCCUAUUCCCUUUCUAGUGCACUACUUUUAACCAGAGCCUAUAGGGCUAAUGGCACCCUAUUCCCUUUCUAGUGCACUACUUUUAACCAGAGCCUAUAGGGCUAAUGGCACCCUAUUCCCUUUCUAGUGCACUACUUUUAACCAGAGCCUAUAGGGUAGGAGUCCACUCUGUGAAAUAGGGUGCCAUUUGGAAUGCUGCCAGUGUGUUUCUAAACCAUCAAAGCUUGGGCUUGUCCCAAAUUACACCCCAUUUCCCCCAGCUAGUGCACUACGUGGGGGGGGAGAGGGUGCGUUAGGGUGUGGUUUGGGACUCCUUGUGUUUUUAUAUGUAAAGGUAGAUAUUUGAAAGCCAGAUGGCUGAGUCCUGUGAGGGCUGUCUUCAUGUUUUUCCGGGCAGUCCAGACGUCUUCUCCAGGAGACGCUUCAUGUCUAUUGUCCUGUUCAACUGCCUCUGGCUGUUUGUCCCAAAGGGCACCCUAUGUAGUGUGAUACGUUUGAACAGGGUUCAUAGAGUUCUGGUCAGAAGUAGUGCACUAUAUAGGGUAUUGUGUGCCCUUUGGGACAUAGCUUCUUACUUAUGUCUAGCCCUAACCCCCAACACUCUAGGUUGAAACCCCCUACACUCUAGGUUGAAACCCCUCUACACUCUAGGUUGAACCCCCUACACUCUAGGUUGAACCCUAACCCCUACACUCUAGGUUGAAUCCCCUACACUCUAGGUUGAAUCCCCUACACUCUAGGUUGAAUCCCCUACACUCUAGGUUGAAACCCCUACACUCUAGGUUGAAACCCCUACACUCUAGGUUGAAACCCCUACACUCUAGGUUGAAACCCCUACACUCUAGGUUGAAACCCCUACACUCUAGGUUGAAACCCCUACACUCUAGGUUGAAACCCCUACACUCUAGGUUGAAACCCCUACACUCUAGGUUGAACCCCCCCCUACACUCUAGGUUGAAACCCCUACACUCUAGGUUGAAACCCCUACACUCUAGGUUGAACCCCUCUACACUCUAGGUUGAAACCCCUACACUCUAGGUUGAACCCUAACCCCCUACACUCUAGGUUGAACCCUAACCCCCUACACUCUAGGUUGAACCCUAACCCCCUACACUCUAGGUUGAACCCUAACCCCCUACACUCUAGGUUGAACCCUAACCCCCUACACUCUAGGUUGAACCCUAACCCCCUACACCCAAGAUUUGGAGUGGGGGCUAGGAAUCGGUUUGGAAUUUGAAAACUGUCUGUCGAUCAUUAAUGUACUGCAGCUCUCCCCAACUUCUCCCCUCAGACACCCAGGGCCUGUAUCUGUUUCAGAUCGAAGCUGCUCCAUAGCAGAGCACAGAUCUGGGAUCAGUUUACCCCUAACCCUGUCAUGUGUCUCAAGUGACACCCUAUUCCCUAUAUAGUGCACUACUUUUCACCAGGUUUCAUAGGGCUGUGGUCAGAAGUAGUGCGUGAUAUAGGGAAUAAGGUGUCACUCUCCGGAGAGGAAACUGUCUUAGGAUCUGUUUUUAUUUUUAUUUUACUCCAAGGUUCCUGGACUAUGUGUAUGUGUUCUAUGUACUACGUUGUAUUUCUACAAUGAACUGAUCUACGGUGCGUGGAUCUAUGUAAAGCCAAAGAACAUUCGUAACCUGUCUGUGUCUGGACACUGUCUGUACAUCUGUCUGUACAUCUGUCUCUGUCCGUACAGUUAGUCCCGUUGUGAAAUAUCUUGUUUUAUUGUAUAUCUGUCUGUUUGGCAGAAAUUAACUUAGUUAUCCCAAUGUCCCUCAAUAGUCCAGUCUAUAAUGUGGAGUUAAAUGUAUUUGGUUUUAAAUCAACUUCUGGAGAAACAGUGCCUGAAGGUGACUUGUACUCAGAUCUGGUCGAAGAGGGUAAAUACACAAUAGGAAUAUUUCAUCCCCAAAAAAUCCAAGAUGGUGACCCACUCUAAAUCCAAGAUGGUGACCCACUCUAAAUCCAAGAUGGUGACCCACUCUAAAUCCAAGAUGGUGACCCACUCUAAAUUCAAGAUGGUGACCCACUCUAAAUUCAAGAUGGUGACCCACUCUAAAUCCAAGAUGGUGACCCACUCUAAAUCCAAGAUGGUGACCCACUCUAAAUCCAAGAUGGUGACCCACUCUAAAUUCAAGAUGGUGACCCACUCUAAAUUCAAGAUGGUGACCCACUCUAAAUCCAAGAUGGUGACCCACUCUAAAUUCAAGAUGGUGGUUCCACUAUCUCCCCCUCUGAAUUAUAACGUUUUAGAUGAGAAAAUGUUGUUUUUCUGUCCAAUAAAUCGGCAAGCAUGUUCUCAUUUUAUAUAAAAUAUAUUUUACGAUUAUACGUUGGAUUAUACCUGAUUUUAGUUUUAAACUACAUUGCCCCUUCUGAAUGGUAUUUAAUGCUGUGUUAUUGGAAGUAUUGGGGGGGGGUGUAUCCUGGGUGUGUGCCUUUUUAAUCCCAAUCACUGAUUGUCAUAACCUGUCAUUACAUGCAUUAGCCUCUCGGUGCUGUUGUUUUUUAAAUCACUGUCAUUUCAUUUAUUAUUUUCAACCAACAAUUACGCUGUGUCGGUCUCGACGAGCUCUUCACUAUGUAAAUAUGUACAUUGUCAUAUUUCCUAUGUUUCAGUCGUCAACCCGCUGCCAGCCAGCCAGUCUCUGAGGUUUAUAAACUACAGAUGACACAGAUUGCUGGAUUCACUUUGUACAGUUCUUUUUAAAAAGGUACUUCGUCAAUAAAUACAUUGAAUAAAACAUGA